AAACCAACCGGGGAUUGCCUUAGUAACGGCGAGUGAAGCGGCAAAAGCUCAAAUUUGAAAUCUGGUACCUUCGGUGCCCGAGUUGUAAUUUGGAGAGGGCAACUUUGGGGCCGUUCCUUGUCUAUGUUCCUUGGAACAGGACGUCAUAGAGGGUGAGAAUCCCGUGUGGCGAGGAGUGCGGUUCUUUGUAAAGUGCCUUCGAAGAGUCGAGUUGUUUGGGAAUGCAGCUCUAAGUGGGUGGUAAAUUCCAUCUAAAGCUAAAUAUUGGCGAGAGACCGAUAGCGAACAAGUACAGUGAUGGAAAGAUGAAAAGAACUUUGAAAAGAGAGUGAAAAAGUACGUGAAAUUGUUGAAAGGGAAGGGCAUUUGAUCAGACAUGGUGUUUUGUGCCCUCUGCUCCUUGUGGGUAGGGGAAUCUCGCAUUUCACUGGGCCAGCAUCAGUUUUGGUGGCAGGAUAAAUCCAUAGGAAUGUAGCUUGCCUCGGUAAGUAUUAUAGCCUGUGGGAAUACUGCCAGCUGGGACUGAGGACUGCGACGUAAGUCAAGGAUGCUGGCAUAAUGGUUAUAUGCCGC
rnacentral:rRNA from 1 species